ensembl:lncRNA
CCAGAACCAGAGGAGCAGUGGAGCCAGACCACAGGACCAGAACCACAGGACCAGAACCAGUGGACCAGAACCACAGGACUACAGAAAUUUCUAGGAUUAACGUUUGGAUCAAAGCUUCAUACGAACCGUUGAAUGAGGAGAAGUCGUCCAGAAGAACUCAUAAUCCAUCACCCAGUCUGACAUCUGAAGAUCUUCAUCAUUAGGAAGCUAAAUGUUAAAGAUAACAACUACCAAACAAGCUAAACCCUUCUUCUUCUUCUGUGGUGUCAGCUCGCUGACUGGAGAGC